rnacentral:rRNA from 1 species
AUGAGACCUGGCAUUGUGAUGAAAAAUUCUUUUUUUCUUUCUUUCUUUCUUGACCAUCACAAGUUGAAUUAUAUGAUGUAUGCACCUCCUAGUAUCAUGAUGUUUUCUAUGAUCUCGCUGCGCUGCAUCAGUCUUAAUAAAAUUAUACUCCCCCGGUUUCUAAAUAAAAUUAUAGUCCCUCUGUUUCUAAAUAUAGGAUGUUUUGGCAGUUCAAUUUCAGCUACCAAAACGUCUUAUAUUACCGAAAAAGGCUUUCGCCCCGUUUUAUAUAUAAAGCACCGAUCCAUAAGCAACACGAUACAAACUCACGCCACCACCGCACAUGACACACACACUGAAGGCAAGAUACAAAGGUGCCGAGCACCACCACACCAUCCCAACGACUACCAAGCCAUUUGGUAG